CCUUGUUUUCUCAGAAAGCAGAGCUGGGCUGAGCUACAGUAAAGAACAGGGAAAAGAGCAACAGAGCUGAAUAUUGGCUUCCACGCUUCCCCGGCAUGACAGGCUUGGCCACCCAACAGUGACCAGGGCUGUUGCUGGCAACGGCUCUGGGUGAAUGGGAAGAAGGAUAGGCAACCAAAACAAGACCAACCAGCUGGGUGGAUUGCCAUCCAAUCAUAAUGGCCUGAGUUCUGAUCUCCACUUAAACAAUCAGCAUGGUGGUGAGCAUCAGUCAACAGCCCUAAGCAGGGAGAGAAUAGGCCAACUCUGAUAACUCAAGGGCCAACCAGUGUAGUGGAUCAGGGAGCUUCAGAUACAGCAAGAUGGCCUGUUUCAAAAGCUGAGGUGGAGAUCCUGAAACUGACUGAAUAAAGAUGCAUGAAGCCACACACUGAGCCUGAUUCCAGGGACCUGCGAAGUGGGAGACAGCUGACGCCCACAGCCUGACUUGCACCAGCUCCCCCGUUCCUCUGCUUUCCUCUCCCAUGCUGGGAUUACAGGUUGCCUUCUUCCACACCUCCUUCUCCGUGAAUCCUGUGGUCCUCAGGAAGUUGGCUGUAUGCUGACCUUUGGUGAGCCGGUGAGCCCUGUGCAGCAAAGGUGAGAGAGGGAGCUGCUGGUGGGUAAGGCCUACUGCAGACGCAGACACGGGGAGCAAAGGUCGGGGGUGUGUUUGGUUUGUUUAAGCGUGAGUCAGAGGAGUGGGGGGUCAAUCUCAGGUCUCUGAUUUCCAAUUUCCUGUGCAAGCCACUGAACGCAUAGUGCCCCGUCCCAGCAGGUUUUUAUGCUGCCGCUUUUUGGAACAAAGGUAGAUACUGUACAAGGCCACACACACAAAUAACCCAGUCAGGUCACCGCUUCCUUCUCAAAGGGAGACAUCUGUGGAACCCAGAGUCUGCAAGAAACCAAACUCUAAGGGAGGCAGGGGGAAAGCCGAACACUGCCUGGCUUCUUGGUCAUCAGAGGCCCUAAGUAUUCCCUCCCUACUUACUAUUCCGUAGGAGGCCUGGGCCCUGGGCCAGUCCCCACAGGCCUGUGGUCAGGGGCUAGCCAUUCCUUCAGGACAGCCCUGCAGCUCAGGCUCCAGGCUGGAGGACACAGGGAUUGACCGUGAGUGAGAACAAGGCUCCUAGGUCACUGCAUGCUCUCCUGCAGCAGGCUGGCCCAUGAAGGACCUUCCUCCUAUUUUCCUGGAAUUUCCUCAAGGCUUAGACUAAACCCCAAGAGAGGGUGGGUCUACACCUCAGUAGCUUCCUGGGAACAAGGAGGCUCUAGGGAGAGUAGAGGCCAGCUUCUAGCAGGAUCCGGGAACCAAAAGGGACAUAUUUCUACAGGACACCUUAGACAGACAUUGUCUGCCAAAGCACACAGCCAGCGAAGCCUCGCCCUCUGAGGAGAGCAUCGUCUCUAAAGGGUCUCUGCCAGUCUGGAGGGGCACACUUUGGGGUGUCUCAUAAACUCAGUCAGGGUUAUGCUGAAUAUACUCAGCUGGUCCAAUGAGUAUGGGAGUGGGACCCUGCGCUCCCCCUAAUUGACAGAGGAAACAACUCCUGCUACCUCAACUCAGCAGGUGUCACCCAGAAACUCCAGGGCUUUCGAAGCUCAGAGACCACAGAAUCUAAUGAGUCCACGAUUCUUCUCUUCUGCUUUCAGAACAGAAAAGUCAUUGGCCCUUGUUUGAGCCUCUGUUUCCUCAUCUGUUGAAUGGGCACAGCUCUAACCACCUCAUCAGUUGAUUGGGAGGAUGAGAUAAACCUGCCUCAUGGGUCAGCACCAGUCUGCAGGAGAAUGGCUCUGGAAGGGACCCAAAAACACUGGGGUGGGAGUGGGGUGGACGGAGGAGAUGAAUGUGGGCCUGGGCAGGAGCAUGGCAUCUUUCUAGGCAGGGACAGGGCUGUCUGCCACAGGUCUGCUAGCCAGCUUCCCUCCAAGGGGACCUGGUCUCAGCCCCAAGGCAGGCUCCACUCCAAAUCCCUCUCCUCCUCCCUCCUCCUCUUUCUCAUGGGACUCUUUGACCCCGGGAACCCCUGAGCACCUGUCUCCUCCAGUCUCCACUGCUGGAGACAGGAAACAACUUAGAUUCCUCUGUCUCUGGGCCUUUGCCCCCACUCAUCCCUGUGCCCUGAGAGGGGCAGAAGGGCCAGCUGUCUAGAGGAGAUUUAUCACUAACAUUGUUUGGAAUUUCUAGUGCUUGGCAGUCUGAAGUCUAAAGUGCAGUGUGGCCUUGAGCCUGGGUUGUUGUUGUCUUCUGUACUCUGGGGGACCACAUGGGUCUCAUCUGCCCACUAUACCCACCUCUGUGGUUCUCCUAGGCAACCCUCUCCCCUCUCUUCUAAUGCCCUAAGCACAGAAGGUGAUUGGCUCUCUUGCUCACGUCUCCAUGAGUCACCCAUAGUGUGUGGCAAGGGUCCUUGGGCCUGCUUUCUUCUCACAGUUUCUUCUGUUUUUGCAGAGUACUGGAUUUAAUGAGGAAGUGCUGUCAGCAGAAGAGAAAAGAAAGCCUUAGCCAACACCCCAUCCAGGCAACCAGUCCCAAGUCCUUUCCCUGGGAGGUGUGAGGCCAGGGAGUGCAGACCGGUCACCUUAGCUCUUCCAGAAGAGCUGAAGUAGGAGGAUACUGAGUUCAAAGACAAGAUAAAGCCUUGUCUCAGAAUUUAAAAAUAAAAGAUACAGACACACAGAGAGAGAGACACACACACACACACAUACACUCACAGAAAGAGACACACACAGAGACACACAGACACACACUUCUUUGGCUCUAGUCCUUAAAAGUCCUUGAAGGCCCUGUUUUUUAUCAGUCCCCAGUAAAACACGCACGCACACACACACACACACACACAUGCACACACAUUGGGCGGGAGGGGGGCCUCUUUGACUCUGGUUCUUGAAGAGAGGCUCUGUAGAAAUUUCUAGAAAGAAGAGGCAGAGACUAUAUUGCACACCGCAAUAUAUAUGACACCAAUCCUGAUGGCAGGCUGCUCCUGGGUCUACUGUACACCGUAUCCACACCAACCUCUCUCAUCUGCUCCCUUGUUGGAUAUCAAGGCAACCUAUAAGCUUGGCUUGUUUGGAUUUUUUUUAUCUACUCUUAUUUCACAGCCGAGGAAACUGAGGCCAGAGACGUCUGAGGUCAGAGCCACUGAUCUCCCAUCCUCCACCCCAGAGGUGCUCACUGGGCCUUAUGCCAGUCAUGAUGCCUUCCUACUUAGGAUGUCACCACACCUAGUCGAUGAAGAACUGCCACCUGCUCGGACAGCGGGAGACCAGCCCUUUGAACGCAAGCCCGCAUCCAAACUCGGGGUUAAUGAUAAAGCCUACUAACGUAAGGACUGGCCUGCCCUCCCCUCUUUAUCAACAUGUGACUUAGAUUUGAGUGCCAAGCCAACCCUCUCCAGAGCCACAUCCUCGGCAGUGACUUAUUAAAGGGUAAAUCAAAGUUUGCUGGAAGAGAAGAGUAAAUACCCACACUCCGCAUGCCAGGCUGGUCCUGAGCCCACUUCCUGGUUCCACUGUUGACUUGGGCUGUAAUCCUAGAUAAGUGAAUACAUUCACUGCCCUGGGCCCGGGAGAGAGGCCAGGAUGGAGCCUGCCCCACCCCUUCACACACACACACACACACACACACACACACACACACACACACACCUGGCAAGAUGCCGGCUCUCGUGGUUCGCCUCGGAGAGGAAAACCUCAGACAAAAGCCAGGCAGGUGCAGAGCUCCGCGUACAGCCGCUUGUCCUUGUGCCUGACUGUGGAGAAGUGGGUCACAUCACCAAUAGAACCCGACCAUCCUUUGGCUCUGAGCUCACCCAUAAUUAGCGGGACCGAGGAGAGAAGAGCUGCUUGCACUUUGGGCCUCAGAUGGCAGGGCAAGAAUCAGAGCAACGUUGACAAGAGUCAACUGUAAUCACACAGUGAGCGUGUUCAAAGAAACAAAUAAAAAUAGCCAGAAGUGGGUCAGCAUUUACAGGAAGGUCGCAGGCAGGAAACUGGGACAGACUUCAAGUCCCACAUGGAGGGAGAGAAGUUGUGUUUUGUGAAUACAAACUUGUGCUAUCUUUGGGUUCUUGCCCCCCUGCUGCUGCUUCCCCCUUCCAUGUCUUCUGGCAGAAAGCAGAAGAGAAUCACCCAUCCUGAGUGAUCUACUUGGGUCCCAGAAGGCUGAAUUUGGAUCUCUUCAGGGCACUAUUCACACCAAGACCAUGAGGUACACGUAUCCACACAUGCACACUUAUACAAAUGACCAGCGUCUCCUGUCAUUGCUUCUCAGGUCUGUGGCAUCCAGUGUGCUACACACACGGGAAGCAUGCAAGAAUGCGUAUAUACAUAUGAAGCUCACAGAGCACACACAAACAAAGCACAUGCAUAUAGCACACCUUCCUACAUGUUCUGAAUACAUGCUCAUGUAUGCAUACAGGGACACCCAAUGGACACACGCAGUCACAGUAGUAGGCACAGUAUCUAUUCACACAUGUGGUAAGUAUGCAUUCAUGCCAUGUAAACACAUGAAACCCAUGUACACAUAUCCAAUACAGUUAGGACUCUGUAAGUUCUUUGGCCAUGGAAUUAAGCAACUUCAAAUGGGGGGAUAUUUAUGUCUUUACUAUAGGCUUUUUUCUCUUGCUGCAGUUCCUAAAACAAUAUAGUAUAAUAGCCAUUAUUUGUCCUUUACACUGUUAGGUACAGUAAAACUAGAGGUGAUUGGUUUGCAAGAGGAUAUGACUAUCAUAUGCAAACAUACCAUUUUAUAUCAGAGACAAGAAUCUGCAGAUCCCAAAACUGGUCUCCUGUGGGUCCCAGAAGCCCCUGUACUCCUGAGCAUGCCCAGUGUGCAUCGUGGACCUUAUCUGCACACACAGUAGGCCUGCAUCCCUCCCGCCCUCUCUGUAACAUUAAGACUCUGGCAGUUGUUAACUUUCGCUCUUGGCAGGGUUGCACUUCCUGGUGGCGUUAGUGACGCGAUGAAUCAGAUUGAUCCGGCAUGUGAGGGAGGGGCAUGCAAUCAUUCCAGCUCUGGGUUUCAGGUUCCGGGUGCUCAGGACCAGCAAGGAGGAGCUGGCAGUAUGGCGUGCUUUGGUGAGAGUUAGGCACGCUUGUUACUUUUCUGGAGUCUUGAAAUACAUACCGCUUCCAAAUGUUGCCUUUAAAAGGAGUUCUGGGCCUCUGCCCAGCGGCAUAAAGAACACAUAUGUGCAUGGAAGGAAGCGUGUUCACCACGUGGAGCAAAGCAUGCAGAGACCAUGAAUGCAGAGGGUUGGGGUGUGGAAGCUCUCUGUCCUUUCACUGUCUCUCCUUCAUGCUGGAAAGAGGGACAGUCACCCAGAGGCAGGUUCACGGGCUGUCUAUGGGUCACGGGAGAAGCAGCCUCUCUCUGGGGAUUAACUGAGCUGCAAAAUGUUUGGGGCUCAGGCAGCCCCACACCUCUACCCAACAGAGCCUUCCUUGUGUGGUGAGGGGGCUCCAGCCCAGGAAUAGGAGCUGUUUCCAGUUAUCCUGAAACUCCAGAGGUGCUGGAGCAUUUGCCCUCACGGGGAGAAGACGAAGGUUCCAGAAAGGCGUGAUGGGUUUCCCUUGUGCCCUUGGCCUCAGACUCCAGUGAUGGCGUGGAGGUGUCGGAGGGCGUCUUUAAAAUAUUGCAUCAUUUAAAAAGAUUUACCUCUUUAUAUGUCUAGCCUGGAAAGCAGAUUAACCAAACACAGACCCAUGUGGGAGUAGGCUCAGCAAAAAAUGAUUGUGCCAGACCCAACAACCGUGCUUGAUAGCCAUCUCCCUCCUUAACUUCUGGCCUGGACAGGGGCCACUUGACGCUGUUCACGCAUUUGCCUGUAAACGGCAUCUGUGAACCCUCGCCUUGCCUGAAGCAUCCGCCCGUGCGAGUCAGGCCUGCAGCUAACACGGGGCUUCUGGAAGGUCUACCAGGGCUGGAAUGCUACAACAGACACUCUGAAGCUUUUGUGUGGCCCCACAUGGAAAAACAAAUUCUAAAGGAGACAGCAAGACAACACAGUGGGUAAAGACGCUCGCCACCAAACUCGCCAGCUUGAGUGUGUGAGCCGCAGGAACUGCACGGCGAAGGAAGCGCACAGACUCCCACAAGCUGUUCCCAGCCCUCCACACAUUAGCCGAAGCACAUACACCACACACAAACAAAUAAAUGCAAUUUAAUCUUUUUAA